rfam:Enterobius vermicularis genome assembly, scaffold: EVEC_scaffold0003183
UUUGCAGGUACGGCGAUUUGACUCCGACAAGUGUUUUUGGUAAAGUAGUUGGAGGUGCUUGUUCGCUAAUAGGUGUGCUUACUUUAGCUCUACCAGUUCCAAUUAUUGUAAGUUGCAAA